UGGUUUUAGGCGAGUGGCAGCGCUCUGGCUACAGACGUAGAGUCUUUUUUUUCCUCCCAGACGCACUGCGGCACAGCCAGACAACUAGAGUGGAAGCACAGGAGCUCACAGCUGCAGUCGACUGGCUUGUUUCGGGGAAGCUUCCUUUCGAAAUAUAGUCGCUGUGCUUCUCUCCGCCGUUAAAGGAUCAUUUUCAUCGGGGUAGAGCAAUCAAAGAGAGUAGAGCCAAGAAAGAAGACAAACUCUGAAUCAAGCAACUUGGAAUUACACUCCGUCUCUGAAAUUUGGGAUAAGCAAGUCCAGAUUGUGAAUUUCGUCUUGUUUUGGACUGCUUAUGCCAUCAUCUUCAUCUCCGAACCAGGAUUCCAAGCUGAGAAGUCGGCGAUAAAGGAUUGCAGUGCGUCACCUGUCUGUCCCGUUAUAAACCUGUCCCAUUCGAGUCGUCCAGUCAGCCGGGCCCACUUGCAAUCCCACUCACGGCGACCAGCCAAAGUGACCACUCUGAUCCAAGGUUAAGGUGGUUUUCAAUCCUAGACUUAGUCCUUGUCCAGAGGGCAGGGCAGAGUCGAACAGAAGCAGCGACGCAGCAGUUGAGCUGAGCUCAGCCAGACAGACGCGGUGACCUAAAUCAGCCCCAGUCAUGUCUGGACGCAGCCAAAGCCAGGGAGACGAAGAGGAAAACAGAGCGAGAGAGGGAGAGCGCAACCCACACGUACUGACUCCUACAUAUACCCGCACUAUGGGAUGGAGAGAAAUGAAGGAGGCUGUAAGGGGAGGGGGAGACAGAGUUGUCUCUCUCUCCCUCUCUCGCUCUUUUCUCCACCGCUUUAUUUCGUUCAUAUUCACAGCGCUGAUCUCCACCGUUGCUGCAGAGCGAAACGUAGAGUCGUGUCCCACUCACCUCCCCCGUUUGCACUUUUGGGUCCAGUAAACGGUGGGAUAAAAGACGGGCUGAAGUGAGUUGGUCAGACGGGCCUUGCCAAACCCACAGGCUGUUUCUGCCGCUCUGCUACCGCUGUGCUGUUUUUGAUGUGAGCCACAGUUCAGAUGCAGUGUUUUUUGGGCGAUCACCAAUAAGCUACCGUACUGGAGGAGAUGCUGGUAAAGUACGGGAGACCUUUCAAGAAAAUGAAUGCUGCUCUGGUGUGCCAUAAUCUGUGAGGGAUGUUUGGAGGUUGAAGGAAAAUCCAGUUUUUCUGUCAGUGGAAAAAAAGCGAAUGCUGCUCCGGUGUGCCAUAAUCCAUAAGGGAUGUUUGGAGAUUGAAAGAAAAUCCAAUUUUUCUGUCAAUGGAGAAGUAUGUGAAUGCCUAAAUGUAAACAUUUACGUUGUUGGGGAACUUUUUGGAAACUUUUAUAAAUUGCUGGCCAACAAAGUAUGGGCUGUUAUUUAAAUACCCCAAUAUACCUCAAACAAAAUUAAAAAAUGAACAGAAAUGACAGAAUUAUGAAUAAAAUCCAAGAAAAUUAAUUAUUUUUUGAGUUCGUUUCAGCAGUUUGAAACAGCUCACCAAAGUAAAUUUCUUAAACACAUUUGAGCUAUCAUUGGUCUGUGGCUAAUACGCAAUCAAUGGUUUUGUUCUUGAUCUGCUUUCUUAAACAUACGUUAUCUUCCCUCGAUUUGUUUAUCAUUCCACGGGGGUCAGUAAGGAGCCCAACAUCCAAAACAACAACACUAGCUACAUGAAUAUACUGGAUAGUCAAGUAGCAGAGCUGGUACAGAUAUAUCUGCACUUGUAUGAUCGCAGAGAGAUUCUAAGGACUCGAAGGGGGUCACACACAGAUUGAGAUGCCUACCUUGCCACGUCAUCUUUUUAUGAGUUUGUGCACACCAGUUUUACCAUUUGAUGUCUGUUUGCGACUAAUAGAAAGCAAUGUAAAGAUGUGAUGUGCUAGAUGUUUAUGAAACUGCACCAUUGUUGUGAUUAGGGGAUACACACGAGCAGCAAGAUACAUUCAAAACACCACCUACUGUAGUGUGGGGGUGUUGGAGUGUUUGUGUUUGUUCAGCCUUAUCAAACUACCUUUCGCCCUCAAAAUAGGAAUGAAAGAAAACUUCAUUUGAAGUAUAACAGGGACUUACGAGUAUAACUACUAAGAUAGCCAUUUUGAUAGUUUUGUAAUUUAAAGGUCGCAUGAAAACAUAUAUUUUUAGAUGUUAGUUUCAGUCUGUUAGUUUUAAGGAUAUCUAUGAGCUAGUGUGUUCCAAAAAAAGUGACAAAAUUCGCAUCUAGAAAGUAAAUAAACAAAGCUUGCAGUUUGUCACUACCUCCUAGAUCGGUCAAGGAUAUUUUUCACAUCACCUCAUAAAUUUUUCAGCAAAUCUUGACCAAUCUGUCUAGCAUCGGACAUGCCCCACCCCCUUCAAGAUGCUUCACAUUUAAUUUUUGUGAUAAAAAUGAAAUGAUAUUGGCUGUUUCUUUUCAAAGGGGAAGGGCUACUAUAUGCCCCACCCUCUCUUCAUUUUUCAGUUGAGAUUAAUUCAAACAUCGAAUACAUUUUCACAUUUCAAAGCACUUCAUGGAAUCUUUAAUAACUUUAAAAAAUCCCAUUUAACUAUAGUACCCUGACCUUUACUAAAUGUCUGUAUGUUUAGUUCUAACAUUGUUGUUUAAUUAAAAUGACAAAACACAAAUGAGUUCUCAGUAUUUCUGUGCCACUGUGUAUGUGUGCCUCUGUUGCCUAGCAACUUCUGCUAACAAAAACACUACUUUCUGAUAGCAAAAACAAACCUUCACUCAACUAGACAUGUCUAGUUAAAUGAAAUAUCUUUGCUCUCCAGCUUGCCAGACAAUGUAAGGUACACACCUUCACGGGAGGUCUAGUAACUCGUGCACAAUUUGGCAAGGGUAAUGACCAUACAGUAUGAUGACAUUCUUAGUUUUAAAAUAUCAAUAGAAGCUUUAAAUGUAAAUGACAAAAAAUCUAUUUGCUACAGUCUUUUAUGAAUGGUAAGAAUGACUGCUAUGCUAGAAUUCUGGUAAUUUCAGUGUUAAAGUGGAUUAAACACAGUCAGCGCACUCUAUAGUGGAUUGCAAAAAGUAGAUAACUAUUGAAUGACACAAAAAGAGAACUCAUUAUUUACUGUUUUUGUUCAAAGCUGUAUUUCACUGACUUGUUAUCAAUUAUAUGGAUUAAAUUUUAGAAUAUCAUUUCAUAGAAGGAAGAAAGACAUUAAUCAACGAUGUAAUUUAUCAUUUUUAAUUAAUGUCUGGGUUUAUGUGGGUGUGACAAAUGAUCCACUACCAGCCGCAUUAUUUGAUCAGAAUACAGUAAAAGCAGUAAAGUUAUGAACUACUGUUACAUUGUAAAAUAAUGUUUCAAAUUUGAAUAUAUAAUAGAAAUGAUUUAUAU